rnacentral:rRNA from 1 species
AUACGUAGGUGACAAGCGUUAUCCGGAUUUACUGGGCGUAAAGGGCGUGCAGGCGGUCUUGCAAGUCAGAAGUGAAAUUCCCGAGCUCAACUCGGGCGCUGCUUCUGAAACUGCAGGACUUGAGUGCUGGAGGGGAUAGCGGAAUUCCUAGUGGAGCGGUAAAAUGCGCAGAUAUUAGGAAGAACACCGGUGGCGAAGGCGGCUUGCUGGACUGUAACGGGCGCUGAGGCGCGAAAGCGUGGGGAGCAAACAGGAUUAGAUGCCCUGGUAGUCCACGCCGUAAACGAUGAAUACUAGGAGUAGGGGGUAUCGACUCCCUCUGUGCCGCAGUUAACACAAUAAGUAUUCCGCCUGGGGAGUACGGUCGCAAGGUUGAAACUCAAAUGAAUUGGCGGGG